GCGCGGUGUUGGAACGCCCUAAGAGGUUGUGCUGUUGGGGUGUUUGGAGAUCAGUUGGGGGGUGGCGUAGGGCAGUCAGACCCCAGGCACCACGAGGCCGGCUAGCAUCGUGGGGGUCACUUUAACUGACUCCAAAAACUCACAAAGUGGUCGGGAGCUCUCAGGGGCCAACCCCUGGUCUCCCUGAUGGCGCUGGACAAACACACCUCACCCAGGGGACCACUGCUGAGGCGAGAACGGAGAUUUCCAGGGCCUGGAGGGAGAAGGCCAGGACCCUGAGGGAAGAGAGGGCUGACCGCCCUGGUGCAGAUGAGCAGCCCCGAUGGAUAAGGAGUUGAGGCCCCGGGGAUGCUGAGCUCUGCCGAAGUGCAAGUGACUGGCCACCAGACUCCAAAAACCCCAAGUUGCUUGGGUGAGUGGGGUUCAAAGCUGAAACUCUACUACAGAAGUGCAGUGGGACUCCACGGAACCUGUAAGUGUGGCCAGAUGUUGGAGAAGUGGACAGACCCAAAAGGCAGCUGGGUGCCUGGCCGCAGGGAUCCGAGGAGUCUCUUAUGCUAUCAAGUCUGCCUUUCCGGAGAAUCCCCUCAGCAGACCCGACCACAUCUAGGCCGACCGGCCGGGGAGCCAAUUCAAAUGCUAACUUCAGUUUAGCAGGACUGGUGAAAAGGCACACUUUCUGCACCUACGACGUGUUACCGGACUGCAGCUGGUUUUGUGUUCGGACACAGGCAGUUUCACCUCCAGAUCACAGAUUUCAAACUUGGCUCCUCCCGAGCUGAAAAUGGCCGCAGGGCAUUGCGCAAACAGCCCGGGACCUCUCCAUCCAGGCUGCACCCAGCUCUGUUGCUGGAACAGCUGCGCCAAAAGGUUGGAGAUACCCUGACGCAACGUGACCAAGCCUGCGCCGCACCAACCUCAGCAGCCCUGGAGGCACCCCCGAAACUCCUGUACCUCCUGUGCCUUCCCUCCAGUCUCAACCUGCUAAUUACCUCGUGGACAAGUAAGUACCAUCCCUAGGAAGGGUCCCCACAGACCAGCCAGCAAGCCUGCCAGCCCACAGGUGGACCGCCCUGAGCGCCAGCCGAGAACAGGUGCUGGAGGCGUGGCUUCAGAAGCACCUUUCCUGCACUGGUAGGAGCUCUCUCACAGGUUUUCAACAGCCCUUCCGGGCCCACCCAUAGUGUAUUCCAGCUUGAGUUCUGCCUGAGAAAGUGACGGGAUCACCUAGAAUGUUCAGCUCGGGGGACAGCUCAACACCCUGGAGCACGGUGUUGAACCCUAAGUGCUGAAAGGUUGGAGGGAGUUUAUGCAGCUCUUCUCAGCCCCGGACAGUCAGGUGCCGGAUGGCUCCAGUCACCGUAUGGCUGUGAUUAUGGGAUGCUGGACAGGGGCCUCUGCAGCCGGACAUCUCAAAUCCUGAUCUCUCUGCCACGAGGGGAACAUUUUAAAGGUUCUGCCCACAAUGUCCCACCUGCUUAGUUUUUUUCAAGGAGCGCAGCCUGUUCACGGUGCACGGAACAUAAGGACACAUUCAGGUGGUUGCAGGCACACACACCGCUGGCGAGUGCCCCUGACAUGGGGAGGAGUGCCAGCUGUCGGCACUGGUGUGGGCGAUGCUUCCACAGUGCCCGCGAGGAGGCAUUCAGCAUGUCAUGAGUGCUGCGUGCCUGUCACGGAGGUGGCAGCCCAGAGUAGGUCCACGCUCACACAUGCAGUGCAACGGCCUGCAUUAUUCAAAAAGGUGCAUUGCGUAACAUAGUUCUGGACUCGAUUCUGCAUUAGUAAUGCACGUUCUUUGCAAGAUGCAUUUUAAUCAGCAAACGGACAUUGGACAAGACACUGCACUGCUGAGCUCUGGUCCUGCACUUUGCAGAUAGGUCUGGAGUCCGGCUGCCAGGGCUCGGGAGGAGCGGAAGGACUGCGCUGAAACGGUGCCGUCUCGCGCUGCGCGCCGAGGCCGAGCAAACGGGUCUGUGCAGAAAUGCUCUUUAAAAUGCAUCAUGUGCGUGACUUUAAAAAGUGCUUGCUGCAGAGUGAAUUUCAAAACGGAGCAAGCUGGUGAUGAACGACCUCGGGUUGUUAGCAGCUGAGGAGCGAGGGGCUGUGUCUGUCUGCCGGUACAUACAGUGCGGACGUGCGUCACCGCCUGGGCUGUGCCGAGAGGGGCCCCAAACCUGUUGGGCAGGCAUGUGGGUUCCCAUCAUUACCGUGCUGGACAGUAAGGUGCUUAUUUGGAAGAAUUUGAGGAAUGUUGUCUUCAGCCCCUUCGAGGAUUGUCCUGUGGAAGAGGCAUUAAGAUGUAUUUUGAGUGACUCCAGAGGCAGAAUUAGAACUGACGGGUGCUGGUUACAGCAGGCAGAUUUUAGCCGAGCCCAAGGAGGACUCUAACAAUUAGGGCUCUGGAAUGGAACGGCUGUCAGGGCUGGGUGGCUCUUUGUCAGAAGCGGUCUUCAAUCAAAGGACAGAUGACCACAUAUUGGAGAUAUUUUCCAUGGCACUCAUGGACCAGGGAGGGGAGAGCCGGGUGCAGUGCGGGUUCUGAUUCCAUGAAAGGCACGUGGAGGCCCUGGGACGGGCGGGGGGCUCCUCCGACUCCGCUUCUAUUUUAGAAGCGUUGGAAAGUGCAGUGGCUCAGUGACAGGAAGGAAUGUUUGGGUGGCAUCUCAGGACAUGAGCAAACAGGUGUGUGCUGUGGGCCUUUUGUAACCAGGAUAGGGCCCGGAGGCCCUUUGAGCCAAAACUCACUUGUUAAAGCAAAGAAAUGAGCCGGGUCUGUCUGUUCGUCACGUUGGUCCUCUUUGCCUCCCUUCCCAGAGCAAUCUUGGAAAUUAAAAAUGAAACUGGCUAUUCUGCAAUCAUGCAUUGGGUCUCUGCUGUGACCAGGACCUCAUGCCGGCAUUGUGAGGAGAGGCGGUCAUGGAGAGCAAACACCCGCCACCCAACGGCACAGUGUGCAUGUCGGUGUGGAACGCCCCCGAACGGUCAGCAGUGGGUCGCCAACAGGUGUCAAAGAAUAAGCACAUCCACACCAGAUACGGAACCUGGGGGAAGCUGAUGCUGGCAGUUACAGCCAGAGGCAGAGUUUAGCUGGUGGGCCUCUACCUAGAGAUUUCCUUUUCUUUUUGAAGUCCCUGGAAGGGUUGUGUCCCAUCCCCUGUCCCCUGGGUGCAGAGCUCUGUGCUGGUCACUCUGGGGAAGACAGGCAGACCCCAUGAAUUCUCAAAGGCUUGCCAGGCUCUUGUCGUGGGUCCCACGGACACCACCCAUUUUCCAAGAGGAGACAGAAGGCCAGAGAUUGGUUCUACGCUGCCAGGGGAGUGGGCACGAUGGCUCUUGAGCCUGUUUUCUAGCCAGUCCUUGGAAAGGGCCGCUUGUCAGACUUGACUGUGGGUAGGAAUGAACGGGGGGCUGGAGGCGCUCCCCACUCCUGACUGGGGCU